rnacentral:rRNA from 1 species
GCGGCAUGCCUUACACAUGCAAGUCGAACGGUAACAGGUCUUCGGACGCUGACGAGUGGCGAACGGGUGAGUAAUACAUCGGAACGUGCCCAGUCGUGGGGGAUAACUACUCGAAAGAGUAGCUAAUACCGCAUACGAUCUGAGGAUGAAAGCGGGGGACCUUCGGGCCUCGCGCGAUUGGAGCGGCCGAUGGCAGAUUAGGUAGUUGGUGGGAUAAAAGCUUACCAAGCCGACGAUCUGUAGCUGGUCUGAGAGGACGACCAGCCACACUGGGACUGAGACACGGCCCAGACUCCUACGGGAGGCAGCAGUGGGGAAUUUUGGACAAUGGGCGAAAGCCUGAUCCAGCAAUGCCGCGUGCAGGAUGAAGGCCUUCGGGUUGUAAACUGCUUUUGUACGGAACGAAAAAGCUUCUCCUAAUACGAGAGGCCCAUGACGGUACCGUAAGAAUAAGCACCGGCUAACUACGUGCCAGCAGCCGCGGUAAUACGUAGGGUGCGAGCGUUAAUCGGAAUUACUGGGCGUAAAGCGUGCGCAGGCGGUUAUGUAAGACAGAUGUGAAAUCCCCGGGCUCAACCCGGGAACUGCAUUUGUGACUGCAUGGCUAGAGUACGGUAGAGGGGGAUGGAAUUCCGCGUGUAGCAGUGAAAUGCGUAGAUAUGCGGAGGAACACCGAUGGCGAAGGCAAUCCCCUGGACCUGUACUGACGCUCAUGCACGAAAGCGUGGGGGAGCAAACAGGAUUAGAUACCCUGGUAGUCCACGCCCCUAACGAUGUCAACUGGUUGUUGGGAAUUAGUUUUCUCAGUAACGAAGCUAACGCGUGAAGUUGACCGCCUGGGGAGUGCGGCCGCAAGGUUGAAACUCAAAGGAAUUGACG